rnacentral:lncRNA from 1 species
UUGUUGUAAUCAGAGUCAUGAAACCAGUUUUUCCAAUUCAAGCGCAUGAUGAAUGAUAUCUGAAGCUUUCAACAAAAGAAAUAGUAUAGCAAAUUGGUUUGAUGGAUAUACACCUGCACCUGGACAUAUCUCAAAGGCCCUGAUCAAUGAAAUUGGGGUGAUAAAUACAGACUUCUAUAGGUGAAAGGAAGCAGAGUAGUCGAGCUUGAUGCCCUCUGCAUUUGAAUGGUUG